rnacentral:snoRNA from 1 species
GGCCGAUGAUAUUACACACAUUGUUACACACGCUGACGUUGGCGACCUACGGGAAGCCGGCAGUCCCUGAUGUCAAAAUUAGCGGAUUUCUAUGAGGCC